ACUAACCCCACACAUCACUCUCACCUGUGUCUCACCUGUUGGUCCUUGUCUUAACAUGUCCCCUGUUAUCGCUUCUAGUCUUUAGUUCCUGUUGAUAUUUCCUGUUUUUUCACAGUUGUGAUGGUUUUGUCUGGUUUUCCUGAGACUACACUGCACUACAUUUCCCUUCAUCUGCCGCCUCUUCUGCCUCUUUACUGACAGCAAUUCUAUGCCGGAUGCUUGAUCUCAUUUUAUCUGCGAUUGGGACAAAGAGUUAACUCUGAGGGACCGGGUUUUGGACACAGCAGUGAUUGUGCUGGAUGCUGCCGCUGGACCACCAGGGACUCUUCAAUUCCAAAUGGACUAAUGAGUUCAGUAAAUAAGACAGCACGGCAAACA